UCAUAGCUCAGUGGUAGAAGCGAUGCACUUGUAUCCCAUAGCUAAUGCAGUGGUGGGCGUCAAACACGCCCUGGGGGAG
rnacentral:tRNA from 1 species